rnacentral:rRNA from 1 species
CUGCAGCUCAAGUGGUGGCCGCUAUUAUUGGGCCUAAAACGUCCGUAGCCUGUUUAGUAAAUGCUUGGGUAAAUUGUGUAGCUUAACUAUACGAAUACCGGGUAGACUGCUAAACUUGGGACCGGGAGAGGCUAGAGGUACUCCUGGGGUAGAGGUGAAAUUCUGUAAUCCUAGGGGGACCACCAGUGGCGAAGGCGUGUAGCUAGAACGGGUCUGACGGUGAGGGACGAAGCCCUGGGGCGCGAACCGGAUUAGAUACCCGAGUAGUCC